AAUUUAUUACUUAUUAAUUGUAGCUCUUUCAUUUCUUUCUAUGAAUGUAGCUGUGUUAUGCCAAUGUAUGUUAUAUAGUUGUGUCAUGUUUAUGCAUGUAAUUUAGCUGUGUCAUGUUCAUGUAUGUACGUCAAGAGGGGCCAGGGUCUGUGGUGCCAAGGCCAGAUAAUACAGAACGUAAAGGACCACACCCGGCCAAUUCCUAGAACACCAGUUGUUUACACAUGUGUAUAAAAGUGGUUGGAAGGAAAGAGUUGUUGUUGAAGAUGGCCUGAACAUACGUGAGGGACACCUCCAACCCGGAGCUCUGUAUCUAUUGAAUUAUUCAAAUGUAUUCAUUAAAUGGCUAAUACUUUUGCAUUGAAGAAAAACCUCUCCUGACUCUCAUUGAACACGCAGGGAAAUAGUUAAUGACAUCAAAAAAUCCCAACAAUUGGUGACCUCUGACGUGGAGGGGGAGAGAACAUUGAUCUGUCGUGUUGCAUUGACAUCAAGGCAUGCCAAAACAUAAGGUCAUCAUUAUCCAGAACCAGGAGCAGCCUUGACGUGCACUGACAGUGCACCGCUGAUGAACAAGCCAUAUUAUGACAAAUUAACAGCUUUACUCUCAGAUUUUUCUGAACAGAUUUUUGUGAAAUGCCUGGAGGGGGCCUAAGAAAAAGUGGUCCCUACAUCUGAAUAGGUGUUGCUGAAGGUAUUCAAGUGAAAGUGGGAGGAGCCAAGGUGGAUUGGUCUAUAAAGAGUGACAGAGAACAUCACACAGACUGAGGUUACAGGUUAAAGGUGAUACAUGAUAGUAAUGGAAUGUUUAUGUUUUAAACAGAUUCACCAAACUGGCAGCUAAGGAGUACAGAUGGCGGCCAUGAGUAAAAUCAAGGCCGAGAGGGGGAGUGCGUAGCAAAGAACAACAUAAACAAAUGAUUGACCCGCUGCCCUCAUGACAAGAGGGGACGUCUGACUAAAUAGGGAGUGCAAGCAUGUAUUGGGGUAGGAGCUAAACACGCAGUAACCUCGAUACAUGGGAGCAACCUGAUAGUAGUGCAGGCCUACGGAUGACAACGAGGAAGUGUGCUAUCACAAAAGAGGGACAAAGAACAGUGUUCUGUUUGAUCACAAAAGAGAAAGUCACUGAUUUACCAACAGAUGACAAUUUGACCAGAACAUUUGAGGUUUUGAUUUUCAUUUUAAUCAAUGUCUUGAUUCUACCCAUAAUGCUACAACUUUUAAUUUCAUUGUAAAAAGUUUGGACCUUAGCUCUCAAUGAUAUUAUGGUACUUUUGAAUUUUUCAUUGGAGCAUAUUUUUUUACGGGUUUGGAUUCCCUUUUUGAUUGUAAUCAAAUUUUUAAAGCUUGAAAAUUUUAAUUUGAAUUAUAUUGAUAACUAAAAAUAACUGAAUAAAAUAAAUAAUCAUACCUCUUAUGAUAAAGUGCAUAAGGUAGGAAAAUGAAAUUGUGAAAUAAUUGGAAGUUAAUGGGAGUGUUUGGCAAAACAACCCUGAAUAUAGUGGGCAUAAUUUUUAGGAUAAGAAAUGAUUAGAAUGAAGCCAUGGAGUAGAGAGACUCCACCACUCAAUAAGAGAACUAGGGGUGAACAGAUUGUUGAGUGAAUCCAACAGAUAGGGAAUUGAGUUAAAAGGGUUUAUGGGCAUUUUCUAAUAUAAUGAAAGAGCACUAUGUAAACAACAAGGUGUAAGCAACCAUUUUGGAAAAAUGGGUAAAGGAUUGUAUUUGGCAAAUAUUUGUAAUAAUGUUAAUUGAUUUUUAUUUUUUAUUUUUCUUUACGUUUAGAUUUUGGUUAUCUGUGGUUGUGAGCUCCUUUAGAGGAGCUCAAAAGAGGGAUUUUGUUAGAAAUUUAUUACUUAUUAAUUGUAGCUCUUUCAUUUCUUUCUAUGAAUGUAGCUGUGUUAUGCCAAUGUAUGUUAUAUAGUUGUGUCAUGUUUAUGCAUGUAAUUUAGCUGUGUCAUGUUCAUGUAUGUACGUCAAGAGGGGCCAGGGUCUGUGGUGCCAAGGCCAGAUAAUACAGAACGUAAAGGACCACACCCGGCCAAUUCCUAGAACACCAGUUGUUUACACAUGUGUAUAAAAGUGGUUGGAAGGAAAGAGUUGUUGUUGAAGAUGGCCUGAACAUACGUGAGGGACACCUCCAACCCGGAGCUCUGUAUCUAUUGAAUUAUUCAAAUGUAUUCAUUAAAUGGCUAAUACUUUUGCAUUGAAGAAAAA